AGAUACAUGCAUUAGUGGAUGUUGGAUGCCAGACUGACCCACUGGACAGGCGUACUGUAGGCACACAACUAUCCUUUAGGACUCUAAAGGCCCACUACAGAAGUAUCGGUGUACAGGCUACUGUGUCCUGCAUAGAUUUUGGUGUUGGGACCUCCACUGCAGACCCCAUCUUUUUUCAUCCACACCUGUGAGGAGACCUUCAAAAAGACCUCGUUUUGCCCUUGAGGAAGAGCUGGAGCGGGAUGACGAUCCAUUUGAGGGGAGCUCUUCAAUGGCAGCCUCAAAGGGGCUAGAUUCCACUUACGAGCCUGGUGAUUCUGCCACAUUAACAGAGCCUCCAGAUUUGUUGGAAGAAAGCCAGAUGCCUGUCCAAAACAUAAAAAAAUACAUAGUAUAUGAGAGCUGUAUCAUGGAGCUGUUUGCAGUGUGUCCUGUCUGCACGCGUGCAUGUGAGGUCAGGACACGAAAACUGGGAACAUUCCUGUCUGUGGAGCA